UUGAGAAGCCUAUACCUACUAUUCUGCUAAGCUGGUUUCUUUUCAGUUCCCUUGCAGAUAGUAGGCAAUAUGUAUGUAUGUUUUGUUUAUUUUAUGUUUCCCCCUGUGAUACUUGGUGGUUUUAAUUUUAAGUUGGUCAAUUUUAACUUAUUAUAUGUUCAAUGGAGGGUCGCAGAAAUAAUCAAGAGAAGUAGUACAUGGUGGAGAGAUGGGUUCAGCCUUGGCAACAGAGGGAUCAAAUGAAUAUAAUUCAAGGAAGAAAGACAAGCUUGGUGAACCAAUAGCAGCUCCACGACGGCUUGUUUCUUCUUUGUGGAAAGAUCAGCUAUUGCUUCCAAUGAUGAAGUGAAAUCAUAGGAAAGGUACUUAAGUUCACU